GAUGAAGAACGCAGCGAAAUGCGAUAAGUAGUGUGAAUUGCAGAAUUCCGUGAAUCAUCGAAUCUUUGAACGCACAUUGCGCCUUCUGGUAUUCCGGAAGGCAUGCCUGUUCGAGAGUCAUUAACAACCGUUUCGAUCCCUUUCUUUCAGAAAUUACAAAGAGGAAAAGGGUUUGGUUAUGGUGGAGGAGGGAAAGGGAGCGUUUAGCCUGCAAAAAAAGAGGCUGUGUUCCGCCUCCCCCCCAAAAUUGUACAGGCGGUCGUGUGCGCCCACGCAUCGAGGUGUUGUAAAAGCUGCCACGGCACUUUUCACCUGUGCAGUGCGAGAUUGGCCAGCCGGUUUAAAAACCCCUCCAAACAAUCAAAGGUUGACCUCGGAUCAGGUAGGGAUACCCGCUGAACUUAAGCAUAUCAAUAAGCGGAGGA
rnacentral:misc_RNA from 1 species